rnacentral:lncRNA from 1 species
AACCGGAACAACAUUAGAUAACUCAGUUGCGCCCUAACCGUAGAACAUUGCAAACAGUGCUUUUUUUUUCAUUCAAUCGAACAAAGAGUAAAACCCAAUUAUAUUAUUCUAUUAUACCCUGAGAGUAUAAAUUUGCAACUUAUCGAUGUCAACGUUCACAAGAACCAAAACCGGACCAACAUUAGAAUACUCAGUUGCGCCCUAACAGUAUAACUUUGCAACGAGUACUUUUUCUCAUUCAAACGAACAAAGAAUAAAACCUAAUUAUAUUGUUCUAUUAUGCCCCGAGAGUGUAAUUUUGCAACGUAUCGAUGUCAUCGUUCACAAGAACCAAAACUGAAAAAAUAUUAGACUACUCAGUUGCUCCCUAACAGUAUAACUUUGCAAUUAUUACUUUUUCUCAUUCAACCGAACAAUGAGUAAAACCUAAUUAUAUUGUUCUAUUAUACUCCCAGAGUAUAAAUUUUCAACGUAUCGAUGUCAACAUUCACAAGAACCAAAAUCAGAACAAAAUUAGACUGCUCAAUUGCGCCCCAAUAGUAUAACUUUGCAAAUAGUAUUUUUUCUCAUUCAGUUGAAAAAAGAGUAAAAACUAAUUAUAUUGUUCUUUUAUGCACGAGAGUGUAAAUUUGCAAUGUAUCGACAUCAACGUUCACAAGAACCAAAAUCGAAACAACAUUAGAUGACAUAGUUCCGUCCUAACAGUAUAAUUUUGCAAACAGUGCAUUUUCUAAUUCAAACGAAAAAAUAGUAAAACCUAAUUAUAUUGUUCAAUUAUGCACCGAGAGUUUAAAUUUGUAACGUAUCGAUGUAAACGUUCACAAGAACCAAAAUCGAAACAACAUUAGAUGACAUAGUUCCGUCCUAACAGUAUAAUUUUGCAAACAGUGCAUUUUCUAAUUCAAACGAAAAAAUAGUAAAACCUAAUUAUAUUGUUCAAUUAUGCACCGAGAGUUUAAAUUUGUAACGUAUCGAUGUAAACGUUCACAAGAACCAAAACCGAAAAAAUAUUAGACUACUCAGUUGCUCCCUAAAAGUAUAAAUUUGCAAUGAGUACUUUUUCUCAUUCAAUCAAACAAAGAGUAAAACCUAAUAAUAUUAUUCUAUUAUGCCCCGAGAGUGUAAAUUUGCAACGUAUUGAUGUCAACGUUCACAAAAAUAAAAACCGGACAAAUAUUAGACUACUCAGUUGCGCCCUAACAGUAUAACUUUACAACGAGUACUUUUUCUUCUUCAACCGAACAGAGAGUAAAACCUAAUUAUAUUAUUCUAUUAUGCCUCGAGAGUGUAAAUUUGCAACGUAUUGAUGUCAACGUUCACAAGAAACAAAAUCGAAAAAACUUUAGACAGCUCAGUUGCUCCCGAACAGUGUAACUUUGCAAUGAGUACUUUUCUCAUUCAAUUGAACAAAGAGUAAAACCUAGUUAUAUUUUCGAUUAUGCACCGAGAGUGUAAAUUUGCAACAUAUCGAUGGCAACGUUCACAAGAACCAAAACCGGAACAACAUUAGACUACUCUGUUACGCCCUAACAGUAUAACUUUGCAAAUAGUACUUUUUCUCAUUCAAUCGAACAAAGAGUAAAACCAAAUUAUAUUAUUCUAUUAUGCUCCGAUAAUGUAAAUUUGCAACGUAUCGAUGUCAACGUUCACAAGAACCAAAAUCGGAAGAACAUUAGACUAUUAAGUUGCGCUCGAACAGCAUAACUUUGCAAAGAGUACUUUUUCUCCUUCAACCGAACAAAGAAUAAAACCUAAUUAUAUUAUUCUAUUAAGCCCCAAAAGGUAGAUUUGCAACGUAUCGAUGUAAACGUUCACAAAUACCAAAACCGGAACAACAUUAGAUAACUCAGUUGCGCCCUAACAGUAGAACUUUGCAAACAGUACUUUUUCUCAUUCAAACGAACA